rnacentral:rRNA from 1 species
UGGGGAAUUUUGGACAAUGGGGGAAACCCUGAUCCAGCCAUCCCGCGUGUGCGAUGAAGGCCUUCGGGUUGUAAAGCACUUUUGGCAGGAAAGAAACGUCGCGGGUUAAUACCCCGCGAAACUGACGGUACCUGCAGAAUAAGCACCGGCUAACUACGUGCCAGCAGCCGCGGUAAUACGUAGGGUGCAAGCGUUAAUCGGAAUUACUGGGCGUAAAGCGUGCGCAGGCGGUUCGGAAAGAAAGAUGUGAAAUCCCAGAGCUUAACUUUGGAACUGCAUUUUUAACUACCGGGCUAGAGUGUGUCAGAGGGAGGUGGAAUUCCGCGUGUAGCAGUGAAAUGCGUAGAUAUGCGGAGGAACACCGAUGGCGAAGGCAGCCUCCUGGGAUAACACUGACGCUCAUGCACGAAAGCGUGGGGAGCAAACAGGAUUAGAUACCCUGGUAGUCCACGCCCUAAAACGAUGUCAACUAGCUGUUGGGGCCUUCGGGCCUUGGUAGCGCAGCUAACGCGUGAAGUUGACCGCCUGGGGAGUACGGUCGCAAGAUUAAAACUCAAAGGAAUUGACGGGGUCGAUAGC